rnacentral:rRNA from 1 species
GAGUUUGAUCAUGGCUCAGAAUGAACGCUGGCGGCGUGCUUAACACAUGCAAGUCGAACGAGAACUCUUUAGCUUGCUAAAGAUAUUAAAGUGGCGCACGGGUGAGUAACGCGUGGGUAAUUUACCUCUAAAUUGGGGAUAACCCGUCGAAAGAAGGGCUAAUACCGGAUAAUAUCUAAGGUUUUUUGAUUUUUAGAUCAAAGGUGGCCUCUACAUGUAAGCUACUGUUUAGAGAUGAGCCCGCGUACCAUUAGCUAGUUGGUAGGGUAAUGGCCUACCAAGGCUUCGAUGGUUAGCUGGUCUGAGAGGAUGAUCAGCCACACUGGAACUGACACACGGUCCAGACUCCUACGGGAGGCAGCAGUGAGGAAUUUUGCGCAAUGGGGGAAACCCUGACGCAGCAACGCCGCGUGAGUGAUGAAGGCUUUCGAGUCGUAAAGCUCUGUCAAAUGGGAAGAACAUAAUAAAUGCAAAUAACAUUUAUUAGUGACGGUACCAUUGAAGGAAGCACCGGCUAACUCCGUGCCAGCAGCCGCGGUAAUACG